GACGAACGCUGGCGGCGCGCUUAACACAUGCAAGUCGAACGGAAAGGCCUGCUUUCCCUUGUGGAUUGCGGGUACUCGAGUGGCGAACGGGUGAGUAACACGUGAGUGAUCUGCCCCCAACUUGGGUAUAAGCCCGGGAAACUGGGUCUAAUUCCCGAUAGGACUGCAGGGUGGUGCCUGUGGUGGAAAACGAUUUUCUAGUGGUUGGGGAUGAGCUCGCGGCCUAUCAGCUUGUUGGUGGGGUAAUGGCCUACCAAGGCGGCGACGGGUAGCCGGCCUGGGAGGGUGGACGGCCACAUUGGGACUGGGAUACGGCCCAGACUCCUACGGGAGGCAGCAGUGGGGAAUAUUGCACAAUGGGCGGAAGCCUGAUGCAGCGACGCCGCGUGGGGGAUGACGGCCUUCGGGUUGUAAACUCCUUUCGACCGCGAGGAAGCCACCUGGUUGGAAGGGUGGUGACGGUAGUGGUAGAAGAAGCACCGGCUAACUACGUG
rnacentral:rRNA from 1 species